UGGUGCUUCAGCAUUCCUAAGUGUGCUCACAUCUGUGGUGGGGUGCAUGUGGGGGCAGGGUUGCUGGUCUUCAGGCUUACGCUUGCCCCAGUGGCAGCUGGGGCAGUAAGCUGAUGGGGGCAGGGUUGUUGGCCUUCAUGCAUGCUUUUGCACAAUCAGUAGUGGCAGUGCAGGGGUGGAGGGGUUGCUGGCAUCUGUGUGUUCAUUUGCAGUGGUGGUAGUGACACUUGACUGGUAUUCUAAGGCAAAGACAACGUAAGUUAUUAUUUCUCACAAGGUUAAAAUCAAUCUUAAAGCUUCACUGACCUAGUGGCCUUUAAAAUCUACCACUAUGUACCCUCGAAUGUAAUUAUUUAUGGAUGGCACGCAUAGCCUACUUCUGUGACUGGCUUUGCUGACAAUCAUACAGCUCAGUUUUCUAUCCCUUAAUCAAAACUCAGGGUCCUGAAACUAUCCUGAGGUUCCUGAGCCUGGAAGGAUAUGACACUUCUUAGUCACUUUUGAGGUAAUCAUGUAAGGAAACCAUGUAUGUAAUGUACCAGGCCACUUUUUUCCACAAGGGGCUUCAUUAGUUUUGUAAAGUCAAUCUUAAUUUCUUAAAGUUGUCUGGUCAUGUAUAAAAUAUGGCAUUCCAAU
rnacentral:lncRNA from 10 species